CUUAUGCCGGCGACCGGCGGACGGGUGCGUAACGCGUAUGUAACCUACCUUUGACAGGGGGAUAACAUCGGGAAAUUGGUACUAAUACCCCAUAACAUCACCGGAGGCAUCUUCGGUGGUUGAAAACUCAGGUGGUCAGAGAUGGACAUGCGUUGUAUUAGCUAGUUGGUGAGGUAACGGCUCACCAAGGCGACGAUACAUAGGGGGACUGAGAGGUCAACCCCCCCACAUUGGUACUGAGACACGGACCAAACUCCUACGGAAGGCAGCAG
rnacentral:rRNA from 1 species